rnacentral:lncRNA from 1 species
AAAGCAAGAACAAAGGAAGAAAAAGGAAGAACAAACCCUAGGUACACAAAUUCAAGGGAAAAGUGUGAAAAUUCAAGGAAACAAGUUAAAAAAAGUAAGAUUUUUUUCAAUUAAGCUUGAGAUCUAUCUUUCUUAAGCAUUUUUUUCUUAUUUUUCAUGGUUGAAUCACAUGAAAGCAUGGUGAAUCCCUUGCUAGCCGAACACUUAGAGAGAGAUUUUGAUGCUUGAUUUGGUUAGAUUUCAAUGUAUUUUAGUGUUUUUAGUUAGUUAGUAAUGUGUAGCAUGAAAAUCAAGCAAGAAAAAUUCAUUUUCUCCCAUCACCCAUCAUUGGCCGAAUUUUCCAUGUAGAGUGUGGAUGAUGAUUUUGAUUUUAUUUCAAGUGAAUUGGUUCGGAAAUGAUGAAUUACGGUGAGAAAAUCAAGUAGGAAAAAUCAUAGUAUUGAUGCACCCACUAUGGCCGAAAUUCCCAAGAGAAAAUGUGAGAAUGAUUUUUGCCAUAUUUCAAGUUAUUUAAUUUGUGUUUGAUGAUUUGGAGUAUUGGGAGAAAAAUGAAAUUACUUAGAGUUAAAUUGGACAUAUUGACUAAUUAAUCGAGUGAUAGAUCGAAUUAGGCCAAUACCAUUUAAUUUAAGUACACAAUUGAAUUUGUGUAGAACAUCGUGUUUAGACGAUAAUCCAAACAAUUUGCAUUCCAUUUCAUGCAUUAGUAAAGAGCCUGAAAUAGAUUUAUAAUGGUAUGACACAGUAUAUUGAAUUAUGUGUCAUGUAUUGUAUAUAGGUGGUGAGCCCUCUAACAAGGGUAAAGACGUUGUAUCAGAAGACUGAGAAUAGGAGUAUUUCAAACUCCUGAUACUGUGAGUAACCUUACUAUCGUCUUAAUUAUCUAAAGUGGUUUUUAUCCGAUUUUAUGAUUUUAUGGAAAAUGAGUUAAAUGGUAAAUCUUUGUGUUUUAUAACUAAAAUGUGAUUUAAAUGAAAUGAUUUUAUAAAAUCGUCUUGAAUUUGAAUGAUGGUUUUGAAAAUGGAGUAAAUAAAGACUAAUUGCUGUGUUAUAAAUCAUGAUUUGAAUUGAAUGGCUUAUGAUAAUAUUGGCAUGAAUGGUUGAUUUGGUAAAUGUGUUAAAAAUGUAUGAACUGUUAAUUUUCCUUGAGAGGCUGUAAAAUAAAAUAAUUGCCAUGUCAUGCUAUUACAAAUUUUAUUAUAUGGUGGGUUAUAAAUUAGUCGCUACAGUGGACGGGUUCCGUGGACCAGCCUAUUAGAGAGGCACGAUAAUCCUAUUAUAUUCAUACCUCAAUAUGAGAGGCGCGGUUGGAUAACUCUUGAGGGUAACACUUUAGAGUUCACUUCACAUCAAACCACCAUGUAAGGGUGAACUCAGCCAACGCCAAGGAACGACUAUGUUUUCAAAAUAAAAACAUGAUUUAUGCGUACAUAACUUUUUAACAGCCUUGGCGGACUCAGUUGGGAUAGCCCUCGAUCAAGGUAUCCCUAAUAACUGAGUAUGAGAAUGAUUUUGGCACGAGCCAAAGUUUUAAGAAAUUCAUAAGCUGUCACGACCCAAAUUUUCAACCCAUGACCGGCGCAAGGGCCCAAUAAACGUAGUCUAUUAAGCCCAAGCAAGCCUAUUGAUUUAUCCUACUCAUCAUUCCAUCAAAUAUCGCUAAGUCAUAUUUCAUACUUUUGAAUCAAAAUAGUGAUAUACAUUGCCAACUCGUACUGGCAUUACUCCUUAAAAAUUUACAUACAAUGUCUACAACAUUGAUUCUAAUAAUUUACAUUAAGUUUUUCUAUAUAAAACAAAAUAACCCUCGACUUCCAACGGAGGGACUCGAAUGAAUGUACAGCUACUGAAUGCCGAGACACCUACCAAAAGAUGGACACAGGUCUACAAGGACAUCUCGUCCUAGUUACCAGCUGCCUCAUGAUCUGAAAACAUGAAUUUAAAAAUGGUGAUUAUAAACCCAGUGAGUGAACAAGGAAGGGAACAAGCAUACCAUAGGGAAUCUUUAAUGAAAUCAUGAUACAUUCUUUUUCAAAACAAUGCAAUUUGUUUCCAUUCUUAUUAAAAACCCCUCAUCAAGCCUUUAAAUGAUUAAUCAUUUGAAAAUCAUUAACCCAUACAUAGCGAACCAUUUAAAGAAUAAAAGCUUCAAUAUUACACAAGUAAGUCAAAUACGACAACGAAUCUUCGCUGCAGCGGAAAGGCAUUCUCGCUCCAGCAUAGCUGCAACGAGAAUGAAUUUUCGUUGCAGCACGUUGGGAUUUAAUUAUUAACCAAACGAGGGUUUCUCAACUGGCCGAGGAUUUCUCAUUAAACCUCCUCAUUUUAAACUUAACUCAUUUAAUCCUUAAUGUUGGAAGUCCAUGCUCUGAUAUGGUAGCAAUGAAGUGAAAGAUAGGAUAGCAAUUGAACAAGAUAGGAGACCAAAACAGAAAGUUUUUCGCUGAAUCUCGUUGCAACGAAAUUGUAACCCAGAAAUAGAAUGUUUCUCACUGCAGCGAAAUUCAAUCUCCCUGCAGCGAAAUUGCAACCCAAAAACAAAAAGUUUCUCGCUGUAGCAAGAAGCUACAGUGUCAUUCUCGCUGCAGCGAAAAUGCAUCCUUGUUGCAACGAGUUUCUGGCCAACCUACCCUUUCAAAACUCGAGAGUUUCUCGCUGCAGCGAGAAUCAUUCUCGCUACAGCGAAAUAUAAGGCAUCAAAUGAAAAUUUCCCUUUCUCCAAAAGAAAACUGUCCUGCUUGAAAUGUUCAAAACCAAUAUGAAACACAUAACAAUUUCUCAAGGUUUAACAUGUCAAGUUUCACAUGCAUUACAACCAUAAACCAUUAUCCAUCAAUUUCCUAUAGCACACAUAUUUACAUAUGUAUAUAUAUAUAUAUAUAAAUAUAUACGCAUAUACCCAUCAUCAUCAUCACCAGCUCAUGCGCACUCCCUACUCGCACAUGGCUAGGUCAUCACCAGGUUAUGCGCACUCCCUACUCGCACAUAACUGGGUCAUUCUAGACUUAUGCGCACUCCUUACUCGCACAUAGCUUAGUCAAUAUAAUUACACAACAUUAUAUUCAAGCAUAUAUGUAUAUCAACAUAAUGCAGCCACAUAGAAAUCCAUAAUAACCACAUAUCAUAACAUAAAUCAUUUCCCAAUAGCUUGUUCCCAAAACAUUCAUUUUCAUGAAAAAUCGUACAAAAUCAUUCAAACGUUUGUCAAAUACAUUAUAUUCCCAAAAUAAGUUUUGAAGGCAGUCCACUCACCAAAUGAUUGUAGAGCCUUUAGAUGACCUCAAUUCCCUUAAUUGUCCAAAUGGGAUGAUGGGGCUUCCUUAAAACCUAGGAUCACAUUAACAUAAACAAUAGAUCAAUUUACACACUAUGAACUCUAAAAGCUAUCUCUUAGCUAGUUUUCAAUUGCCACAUUAAACGGCUAUCUAUGUUCACUAUCUUAAUCACUAAAAAGUAAUGAACAUAGUCAACAAUAAAACAGCUCAUAAAUCCCAAUUACUAGCCAUUUUCUGCAGCUAAAAAUCGAGCUUAGUUCAUUACUUACCCUAGGGCUCCUUUGUAGUCAAAUUCUCUUCCAAUUGCUUCCAAAUCAAUGAAGUAAUUCUCUCUUUCUCUCUCUAGAAUGCCCAACUAGUGAGAGAAAGUCUGGAAAUAAGCUUUAUCAAGGAUUUUGAAGUGAGAGGAUAAAAGAAUUCAAAGGUUCUAGUUAAAAGGGUUUAAAGGUGUGAAAACUAAAGCUAGAGAGAGAAAAUCAUUCAAGCUUCAAAUCAAGCUUCCAUGGAGUUUUGAAGAAACGUGAGAGAGAAGAAGAAGAAGAAGAAGACCAGCUGUUAGAAAAUCUCUAGAAGCUGUUAGAAAUUCAAGAUAUUUAUAGGCAAUCUUAUCCUUUCCUUUAAAAUUACGAAAAUGCCCUUCCACCAAUUAACUUAUUCUCCUCCAAUCUUUUAUGUAAUCUUUUUGCUCUUUUAACACUGAGACAAGAUCCAUAAUGGUCUAGACAUGUUCGGGUUCAUAAAAACUUAAAAUUUUAACUUGAUGUGAAAAAUAACCAUUUUGCCCCUGUUAUGAAAAUUGUUGAAACUUAUACUUUUCUUUGUGUUUUCAUCAGCACACAUCAUUUAUGUAGUCUUAUACCCAUUUAAGCCUUAAAAUAUCAUAAAACUUUCUUCUGGAAGCUUAUUAGAGAAAAUGACAAAACUACCCUUAGCUCAUAUUAUUACAUCUAUACUUAAUUACAAGCCUAUAGAGGUUGAGGUCUCACAUAAGCCAUGUUGAUUACUCAAUUUAUAUGAAUUGAUUUAGUUUGGUUGAAAUGAGUUGAAAGGUGAUGAAUUACAGUAUGUUAAACUAUUUUAUCUCUCUAUUUACUCAGCUUUAGAUAUUUUAGAUGGUAUUUGUUUACUCAUUGGGAUUAUAUAAUCUCACCACCCUCCUUUCCACCCAUUUCAAGCUCAAGAUAGUCAGUAGAUAGCUCAUUUCAUUGAGGGCUACAGUUGGAUUUGCAUCCUCCAAACUGGAGGUUCAUAGUUUUCCUUACUUUAAGUUAUUCGGGAGCCUACUGGUUAUUGUAAAUUAAAUUAAAUACUCUGACUUACUGUAUUACAGCAUGUAUGAAUUUAUUUUGCUUUUACGUUGCAAAAAAAUUAUUUACGUAUAACUCUAAAAAUAUUAUUUUAUAAGAAAAUAGAAUAUUUUAUUGAAUAUUUUUUUAUUUUUUUAUUAUAUCCAAAUAAUCAUAAUUUCAUUUUAAAUGAAGGUUUUAGAUGUUUAAACUUAUUUUUUAUUAUGAAUUAUGUGUUUUGUUCUUGUAUAUUACAUUUUAACGGAUUUCGAGAUUUUUGAGAAAAAAUGAUCAAAAUGCCCAUGAGAAAAAAAUUAUUUUUUUAUUGUUUCGAUUUGAAAAUAGUUUAUAAUCUCUCAAAACAUAAUUUUAGUGACUAAUACUCACAAGGGAAGCGAGAAAAACUGAUGUUAAGCCUUGACAGGUUUCGAUUGACAUUUCGGGUAAUGAAUGUUUAUCGGGACGUCGCGGAGGUUGUCACAGGCUCGAUGGGAGUUCUGAGUCGUGACACAUACUUAACAUAAUUUGAAAGACAUUACACUCUUAAAUCUAGAGAUCUUUUGUCAUCACAAAAGAAAAGAAGGAGAUUGUUGACUUCAUAUGUUUUUUAUGAUAACAAAACAUUACUCAUUCUUUAGGUCUAACAAUGUUACUUGAGUGUGCAGGGGUAAAAUUGAUAUAUUGUUGUUUGUCUCACACCCUAAAUGCCCUAGGAUAAGUCUCAAGUCCCAAAAAAGUGAUUCAAGCAAGUUAGAAGGCAUUUUGUGAAAUUUAAUCGAUUAACAUUUUAGUUUAAUCAAUCAAUCAAGUCUAAAAGGAAGAUUUUAAAACUUCAGAAAAGACGUUAACUGAUUAACACAAAGAUUAAUCAAUUAAAGUAAUGUUGGAAGGGACAUUGAGACAAACAAAAAGAUUUUAAUAGAUUAACAUAAGGUUUAAUAAAUUAAAAUAUCGAUUAAAGAAGUACUGGAAGAAAUACUAUAACAAAAUUAAUCGAUUCACAAUAGGCUUUAAUCGAUUAAAAUUCAAACAAAAGGUAUUUCAGUAACUUAAAGUGAAAAUUCAAAUUCAAGUUGACCAUUGGAGGGUAUCAAUUGAAGAAAUUUGAAGUCAAGAAGAUUUUAAUUAGUUAAAGAUUAGAUUAAUCGAUUAAAGAGGAAACAAAGAGCUUUUAAUCAAUUAAAGUCAAGUUUAGUUGAUUAACCUAGAGCACAUGGAGACAGAUAGAAUGGUUUUAAUCAGUUAACGCUAAGAUUAAUCGAUUAAAGCAAAGCAUAGGAAGACAGAUAGAAAGUUUUAAUCGAUUAAAAUUUAUUUUAAUCGAUUAAACAGGGCAACUGAUUUGAAUUUAAAUACUACUACAAGAUCAAACAAUAGGCAGAUUCUUCCCAAAUUGUCUUUAACUGCAGAUUUUCACUCUCCAAGUAUAAAAAAUGGUUCAAAUGGUCCUAAAUGAAAGAAAGAACCAUCCAAAAGAAAGGUUGAGCUAAGAAGUAUCCAAAAGUUCUUUUUUCCAGUAUGUUUCACUCUUAUCUUUGUAAAAAAACUUUAAGCUUAACUUUGUAUAUCUUAAAUUAGCUAGGUGAUCAAUUGUACUAUAUCUUUUCUUUAUUCUUUGUUUACUUUGACUGUGAGAGACACCUUAAGAGGUAACUAAGCUUAGGAAAGCUUGGGAAUCUUAUAGGGGUUUUGAGCUUAGGUUAGAAGCUCACUUUUUAAAAGUUUGGUGGAAGUUGUCAAUUCCACUAGUUUAGUGAAAUUGGGUUGAAAAAUCCUUGACUAAGAGAUCAAGGUAGUAGAUGUAGGUCAAGGAGACCAAACCAUAAUAAAUACUUGUGUUUGGUCCACUUCUCUUUACCAUCUCUUUACGUGGUGCCUUUUAGUCUUGACAAGUUUUAAACUCUCCUUUUCAAAAUCAUUCAAAGGCUUUUCAAACUUAAGAAUUUCCUUUAGAAAUAUUUUUUAGUGCUAUUCACCCUUUUCCAGCACUCAAUUAGGACCAACAUACAAUCAACUAACAACAUAUAUCCUAUCAUAAGUUCCUAGCUUCGGACAAAAACCUAUCUUCGAAACUAGUAGAUUUAUCAAAUAACCUUCCUUGAAGUUCUAAUAAAUUUCUAAGCUUCAAACCCAAUCCAUAAAAUAAAUAACAUUAACUUUCCUUACCUUCACAACCUCCUUGAAGAGCAAAACCCCAAAAUUCAUUGCUCAAAAACAAGUUAAAUAAGUUGAAAUUUAGAAAAUCCUAGAGUUAAGUCAUACGCAUGAGAUUUAAACUCAAAACACCAAAUCUUACCUUAUAAUCAAUUUGAAAGGUUAAACCCUUGCUAAAUGGGGUUUGAAGAGGCUGGGAAAGGGUUUCGAUGCUAUUGGGGGCAAGUUGGGGGCUAGAAAAGUGAAAAAUAAAUUUUAAGGCUCAAGCUGGGUUUUAUAUUUUUUCCACGCUCGAGCUUGGGAAUCAACACCUUAACUCCUAGGUGUCGAUUCCUUAUGCUUAUUUUUCUACCCAAACUUGCUAGAAUCAACACCUUGACCUUAAGGUGUCGAUUCUUGAAGGUUCCAAUAACUUAUUUUGAAAUUCUAACUUAUAAGAAUCAACCCUUUAACUAUUGGGGAUCGAUUCUUGAGUUUCCAAAAGCUAUUCUAAGUAUUCCAUCUUCUAAGGAUCAACCCUUCCUUGCUUGGGGUCGAUUCUUGACACUUCCAAAAGCUAUCUAAGGAUCUUGUACACAUUGAGAUUGACCUUUCAAGCUCAGACUUGGAAAAAUCCACGUCUUUCAUUUCCAUUUUCACCCAUUCUUGCAACCAUCAUUCUUCCAUGAAUGUAUUCAACAAUAUAGAGAGAUUGAACAUCAAAUGACAAGAAAUUUUCAGCAGUAAUCAUCACCAAUUAUAAUUCAUAAAAAGUUCAAAUUUUAACAAUCUCCAUAAUAUGAAAAAUUGAGGUUUCACAGUUAUGUUGUUCAUGUUAUGAAGAACAUGCAUUUGAAUAUUUGUUCUUAGAUACCAUAUAGUCAAAUGAUGACUUUAUUGAAUUUUGUGUUAUUUGUUGUUGAAUUUUUUGUUAAGUAUGCAAAUUAUGCAUAUCAUAUUCCAUUCCAUACUUUUAUAGUUCUAGUUUUUCAUAUGAAAAGCCAUCUAACUUUAAGAUAGUACAAAUUAGACUAUUUUAAGAAGUAAAGGAGCUCAAUUUGCUUUUCAUGAUUCUUAUGUUCUAAGUUGAAAAAUACACUUGCAUUAGUCCAAAAUAAUGUUUUCAAAUGGGUUUUGUAUCAAAUUAUAAUAUCACUUUUGGUUAAAAAACAAUUUUAGACCAUCACAUGUGUUUUGAAAAGACAGAAAUAUGCAUUUUAAAGCUACAGGAGUGAAAGCAUUGACACUAUAAGUAUCAAUACUUCAUUCAUCACAUGAAUAAGGCAUUGGUAUCAAUACUUCAUUCAUCACAUGAAUAAGGUAUUGAGACCCUUGGACCAUGUAUCGAUACUUCAUUCAUCAAGUAUUGAGACCUUUAAGCCAUGUGUCGAUAAUUUCCAAAUAGUAGCCCAAAAUAAAAAUUCCUGUCAAAAGUAUCAAUACUUUCCAUAAAAGUAUCGAUACUUUUGAAUGGUCUUCAAAUAUUGUGGCUGUUUUUAUUUCAAACAAAAUGUUCCCUCUUCAAAAUUUUUUUAAUUUUUGUAGUACCCCAUAUUUUGAUAUGGUGGCUAAUAAAGUUUAUGGAUAUCAAUUUAGGUUGAUUACUGAGUUAAAAGGGUAAUUCAGAAGUGAACCUGUGAAAUCUCGAUCUCCAUAGACACAUAACUAGAAGUAGACACGAUAAUGUGGACUAGGGGUAAUUUUGUAAUUUCUCUUAGUAAGCUCCUACGAAUGGGUUUUUUUGAUGCUAUUAAGGUCUAAAUAGGCCUAAGGAAUGAAUAAAUGAUGUUUAUGAUGGUAAAUAAAUGAGGAAGAUAAAAAUAAUGAUAAUUUCCACGGUAGGGGCAAAAUGGUCAUUUUGCAUCUCGAGUCUAAAUUUUUAAGUUUCGUGAACCUGAGUACCUUUAGACUAUUAUGGACUUUGUUUCAGAGUCAAAAGAGCAAAAAAGUUGCACAAAGGAUGGGAGGAAUACAAAACCACCAUGUUAAAGGCAUUUUGGUAAUUUCAGUCGAAAUUUGGAUUAACUUGAAGCAUAAAUAUCUAUGCUCUAGCAGCUUCUCCUUCUUCAUCCCAGCCCUUCUCUUGAUUUCACAUUUUCUUCAUUCUCCAUUGGAGGAAAACCUUGAAUCCUCCAUAAAUCCCUCAUGGAAAGUCCAAAUUUCAUGCUUUUGCCCACUCUUUCAUAGGGUUUUUCAUGCCCUUCAACUUUUACACCUCAACAGCCUCCAAAAGUCUUUGUUCAUCAUUUUCUCUCACUAGUUGGAAGUUUUAGAGAGAGAAAGAGAGACUUGCCAUAGUAGCUUGAAAACUGUUGAAAAAGAGUUCAACUACAAGUCCACAAGGUGAGAAAUGAGUUAGAAUUUGAUUUUAAGAUGUUAGAGAUGGCUAGAAAUUAGAUUUAUGGGUUGUUAUAUUUUUUAUAGUUAUGUUGUGGGUGAUAGGUUCCAACAAGGCCUCACAUGUCUGUUUGAAGCAAUAAUCGAAGUUAGAGUCAAGUAAAGAUUCAUCAACUAUCGGUGAGUGAACUUGCAUUUCAAAUUUUGUUUUAGGAAUGUGAAUCUAUUUGCACAAACAUUGAUUGAUUUUAUCCAACUUUUCUUAAAAACGUGUGCCUUGGGAACAAGCCUUUGAUAAAUUGUCUCUAUGUUGUGACAUGUGGCUGUUAUGGAUUCAUGCACUACUGCAUUAUGUUUGUAUAUAUAUAUAUAUAUAUAUAUAUAUAUAUAUAUAUAUGUUGUGCAUUGAUAGUUGAUAUUGUGUGAUAAUUUGAUCGAGCGUGUACACGAUGUGGGGGGAUGCACAUGCCAGUGAUGACUGUGGUGAGGGAGAUAAAUGAUGAUAGUGCCCGUGUGCACGAUGUUGGGGGAAGUACACAAUGGCACUGAUUGUGCACGAUAUGGGGGGAUGCACACCAUGACUCCGGCUAUCUGCAAGAUGUGGGGGGAUUCACAUGAGCUGGGUGAGAUGAUGGUGGUAUUGGUGUUUAUUUAUGUAUAUAUGUAUAUGUCACGACCCAAAUUUCGGGCCAUGACCGGCGCAAGAGCCCAAUAGACGUAGUCCAUUAAGCCCAAGCAAACUUAUCUAUUUAUCCUACUCCUUAUUCCAUCAAAUAUUGCUAAGUUAAAAAUUAUAACUUUAAAUCAAAAUAGUAAUAGACAUUGCCAACUCGUAUUGGCAUUACUCAUUUAUUAUAUACAUACAUUGUCUACAACAUGUAUUCUAAUAAUUUACAUUAGGUUCAUCUAAACAAAACAAAAGAAAACUCGACUUCCAGCAGAGGGACUCGGAUGAAUAUACAGCUACUGAAUGCCGAGACACCUACCAAAAGAUAGAUACAAGUCUACAAGGACUCCUCGUCCUAGUUACCGACUGCCUCGUGAUUUGAAAAUAUGAAGUUGAAAACGGUGAGUAUAAACCUAGUGAGUGAACAAGGAAGGGAACAAGCAUACCAUAAGAAAUCUUUAAUGAAAUCAUGAUGCAUUCUUUUUCAAAAUAAUGCAAUUUGUUUCUAUUCUUAUUCAAAACCCCUCACUAAGCCCUAAAUGAUUAAUCAUUUGAAAAUCAAGGACCCAUACAUAACAAACCAUUUAAAGAAUGAAAACUUCAAUAUUACACAAGCAAGUCAAAUACGACAAUGAAUCUUCGCUGCAGCGGAAAGGCAUUCUCGAUGCAGCUACGCUGCAACGAGAAUGGAUUUUCAUUGCAGCGACGUUGGGAUUUAGUUACUAGCCGAACGAAGGUUUCUCAACUGGUCAGGGUUUCUCACUAAACCUCCCCAUUUUAAACUUAACUCAUCUAAUCUUUAGUGUUGGAAGUCCAUGCUCCGAUAUGGUAGCAAAGAAGUGAAAGAUAGGGCAAUAAUUGGACAAGAUAGGAGACCAAAACAGAAGGUUUUUCGCUGCUGCGAGAUUGAAUCUCGUUGCAGCGAAAUUGUAACCCAGAAAUAGAAAGUUUCUCACUGCAGCAAAAUUUAACUAAUGAAACAGAGAGUUUUUCGUUGCAGCGAGAUUCCUUUUUGCUGCAGUGAGAAGCUACAGUGACUAUCUCGCUGCAACGAAAUACAUUUUCGCUACAGUGAGAACCAGUUCUGGUGAAGGUUCUCAAACCCGAGAGUUUCUCGUUGCAGCGAGAAUGAAUUUCACUGCAGCGAAAACCGAGCAAUAAGAGAAAAGUUUUCCCUCACUCAACAAAAAAGCCAUCCUGUUAAACCAACAAAACCAAUAUACAGCACAUAAAAUUCCCAAAGUGUAAUGUAUCAAAUUUCUCAUAUAUGUUAAUCAUAUAUCACAUUCAUAAGUUUUCAUUUCAUAAGUCUAGAUAUGCAUAAUUACGUAGAUAAACAUCAACAUCAUCAUAAUCACACUCGGCUCAUGUACAUCCCCCCACAUCGUGCACAUAGCCGGCACCAUCGUGUGCAUCCCCCCACAUCGUGCACAAUCAGUGCCAUCGUGUACAUCCCCCCCACAUCGUGCACAUAGGCACUAUCAUCAUCCACCUCUCAUGCCACCAACAUCACCGGCAUGUGCAUCCCCCUACAUCGUGCACACACACGGUUACAGUUAUUAUACACGAUAUCAUUCAUCAUGCACAACACACACAUUUAUAUAUCAUUAUACUACAAUAGUGCAUGAAUCCAUAGCAAUCACAUAUCACCACAUAAAACCAUUUUGCAAAAGCUUGUUCCCAAGGCACUUGUUUUUAUAAAAAGCUUGAUAAUUCAUUCAAAUGGGCGGCAAAUACAUUAUAUUUCCCAAAACAAGUUUUGAAGGUAGUCCACUCACCAAUUAAUUGUAGAGCUUUUAGAUGACUCCAAUUCCCCUAAUUGUCCAAAUGAGAUGAUAGGGCUUCCUUAGAACCUAGGAUCACAUUAGCAUAAUCAAUAGGUCAAUUUACACACUAUGAACCCUAAAAGCUAUCUCUUAGCUAGCUUUUAAUUGCCACAUUAAAUGGCCAUCUAUGUUCACUAUAUCAAUCAGUAAAAGUAAUGAACAUACUCAACAAUAAAACAACUCAUAAAUCCCAAUUACUAGUCAUUUUCUGCAGCUAAAAAUUGAGCUUAGUUCAUCACUUAUCCUAGAGCUCCUUUGUAGUCAAAUUCUCUUUCAAUAGUUUCCAAAUAAAUGAUAUAAUUUUCUUUUUAUCUCUCUAGAAUGACCAACUAGUGAGAAAAAGUAUAGAAAUGAGAUUUAUCAAGGGUUUUGAAGUGAGAGGAUGAAAGAGCAUAAGGGUUUAUGGAAGGGUGCACCAAAAGCAUGAAAAUUGAAACUAGAGAGAGAAAGUUAUGGAAGCUUGAAGAAACUCCCAUGGAGGAAUUGAAGAAACAUGAGAGAAGAGAAAGGAAAAAGAAGACCAGUUGCUAGAAAAUCUCUAGAAGCUGCUGAAAAUUCAAGAUAUUUAUAGCCAAUCUUAUCCUUUCCCUUAAAAUUACGAAAAUGCCCUCUCACCAAUUUACUUACUCUCUUCUAAUCUUUUAUACAAUCUUUUUAUUCUUUUAACAUUGGGACAAGAUCCAUAAUGGUCUAGACAUGUUCGGGUUCAUACAAACUUAAAAUUUUAACUCGAGGUGAAAAAUGACCAUUUUGCCUCUGUUAUGAAAAUUAUUGAAACUUCUAGUUUUCUUCAUGUUUUCAUCAGCACACAUCAUUUAUGCAGUCUUAUACCCAUUUUGACCUUAAAAUAUCAUAAAACUUUCUUUUGGAAGCUUAUUAGAGAAAAUGACAAAACUACCCCUAGCUCAUAUUAUUACAUCUAUGCUUAGUUACAAGCUUAUAGAGGUUGGGGUCUCACAGUAUAUAUAUGUUUGUGAAAUAAAAGUUCAUGAAUAUAGUAUAUGGUUGUAAUGCAUGUGAAAUUUUGGCAUGUUGAACUUUGGAAAUUUUUUAGUAUUUCAUGUUGAAAUUGACAUGAUGAAUCUUGAGAAUGUCCCAUUUUAUUGCAAAUUGAGUUUAUUGCGGCACCAAAUGGAUUUUUAGUGCAAAGGAGGUCAUUUUACAUUUAGGUGCCCUGCUUCUCGCUGCAGCGAGAAACAUUCUGUUUUGGCAACCAACAAACUCGCUGUAGCGAGAAACUCUCAGAUUCUGAUGCAGUGCUUUCACUUCGAUGAAGAUUUUGACUAUCUUCUCGUCCGAAUUGGGAAAAGUGGUAAACAUAAAAGUUGUAGCAAUGUCUCUUAUCUUUCUAAUGAUCUAAAAAUCAGGUUAUUUGGAGUUCUGUAUUGGGAGAUAUAAUAGAAAAAAUGAAACAUAUACAAACUGACACUAUUUCUCGCUACAACGAGAAACUUUCGAUUUUGGCCUCCUAAAUCUCGCUAUAGCGAGAAUAAACUUCGUUGCAGUGAGAAACUUGUUGCCAUAAUUGCUACCUUGCUUAAUUUUGACCUUCUUUUCACCCAUUUAACUUCAUGGAUUGAUCAUGGAUUUGUGAAACACUAUGAAGGUAUUAAUCAAGGUUUGAAAUGAGGGGUUUUAGUAAGAAAUUAAAUCAAGUGCAUUGUUUUUGAAACAAGUGCAUCAUGAUUUCCAAACUCUUCCUAUCGAUUGCUUGUUCCCUUCUUAUGUUCACUCACUGAGUUUUAUACUCACGUUUUUAAACUUCAUGUUUUUAGAUUCGAAGGCAAGUUGGGACUUAGAUGGAGUCGCACACAUAUGCUCGCCUUCUUGGUAGGUACUAUGGCAUCUCAGUAGCGAUACCUUCACUUAAAGUCACUUCGCUGACGGUCAAGAGUCUUGUGCUUGUGUACAUGUAUAAGUAAUGAAGACCACUAAGAUUCAUGUUAAAAAUCAAAUAUGCAUAUUUGAUUACUAAUGCCACUAUAAGGUGGCAAAUGAGUGAUACUAUGUUAGCAUAAUACAAAUGUGAAUAUUGGAUUGCUAUAAAAUGUUACUGAAAU